UCUCAGUACGGCGAGUGAACAGGGAAAAGCCCAGCACCGAAGCCUGUGGCCAUUUGGUUACUAGGCAAUGUGGUGUUUAGGUCGUUCCACAGAGGUUCUGCUCCACCCUAAGUCCAUCAAUGAGUACGGUAGUAUGGACAUGGCCCGCAGAGGGUGAAAGGCCCGUGGGGGUGGAGACAUAAUGGCCAGAGCCUCUCUGGGUAGACCUUGGAGUCGGGUUGUUUGUGAAUGCAGCCCAAAGUGGGUGGUAAACUCCAUCCAAGGCUAAAUACUUGCACGAGUCCGAUAGCGAACAAGUACCGUGAGGGAAAGUUGAAAAGUACUUUGAAGAGAGAGUAAACAGUGCGUGAAACCGCUCAGAGGUAAACGGGUGGAGUUGAACUGCAAGCUUUGAGAAUUCAGCUGGUGAGUAUGGUUUGAGCUGGGUUAAUUGGUGAACUCCGGAGUCUGCGUAUUAGCAGGUCUUCAUCUUCGGAUGGAGAUGCGCGGUGCACUCAUCAAGUGUUGUGCGCUCCGGUUUUUAUACCACCUGCUCGUCAGUGCACUUUCUCAAAGUAGUCACCUCGAUCGGCAUUGCUGUCCGGCGAACACGGUUAAACCUUUUUUGCAUUGUCUUGACCGGCUUUGUAAAAUCGGGAAGGCAGGUAGCUCGUUGGCUUGCUUGUAGCUCGCUACAGGCGUUCGGUCUUCGAGUGUAUGCUGACCGUACUAGCAUUGUGCAGUAUGUCGGAGACGGCGGCUUGUGGUGUGUGCAUGUGUAAUCAUUUGCUGACUUGUCCGGGUUUGGGUAUUUAGUUGCCUGUAAAAGCAGGCCUGGUGAUGGCCCGGGUGUGUUCGGUGGAUGUUUGCAUGUGUUUCACUAGUCCAAGGGCCAAUAGUCUGAGGGGUAGGGGGAGACUUUCCACCUGACCCGUCUUGAACACG
rnacentral:rRNA from 1 species